UGUAAACUUGUUGAGGACAAGCCCAACACAUGGAACCGCUACUUGGAUGCAGUCAUGUUUGGCCUAAGAACGAAGGCGCACCUCACCACCAGGUUGUCCCCUUUUUUUUAUGUUCGAACCUUUUAUGUUCGAACCAAACCCUUCACAGAUCCCACCCCUCAAAUCCCUCACAGGAUACCACCAACUCCACAUGAAGAACCCCCUCUGAAAAAACCUCAUUGACACUAUCCCCUCAGCACAUUCACCUUUACCGGCCCCUCUUGACAUCUCCUAUCACCCCACUGCCUGCCAAUCACCACCUGCUCCAUCCUCUCUCCAAUUACCUUCACCAAUACAGUCUCUGGCCACCAGCACACUGGACCCGGUCAUCCCAGAGGACGACGUUGUGCGUAGCCGCAUCAUGGACACGUGGAAUGGUAACAAAAGCCAUGUUAUACUCAAGAGCCUACAAGGUCUUUUACCAAGACCUCUUCCAGCUGGGCCCUGGACAAGAGUUGGAGAGUGAGUUUGCAGAACACAUCCUGGAAGGGUCAAGCUCAAUACAUUUCCCAACAUCCAACUUGGAUGACCUGAGGAGGGAAAUAGCCACCACCAACAUGACUGGAUCUGAUUGCGUGUGAUGCCUGUCUGAGGUGGUUUCACACAGGUUGUGUAGGAAAUCCAGCCAUGGAGGGCAAUUAUGCCUGCUAUGCAUGCCUUCAUCACGAGUUGUCUCACCAAACUAUGCGAUUAAAACUUGGAAUCGUUGUC